rnacentral:tRNA from 1 species
GAAAGAGAGGGAUUCG